rnacentral:rRNA from 1 species
UACGAAGGGGGCUAGCGUUGCUCGGAAUGACUGGGCGUAAAGGGCGCGUAGGCGGUUCGUACAGUCAGACGUGAAAUUCCCGGGCUCAACCUGGGGGCUGCGUUUGAUACGUGCGGGCUCGAGUUCGGAAGAGGGUCGUGGAAUUCCUGGUGUAGCGGUGAAAUGCGCAGAUAUCAGGAGGAACAUCGGUGGCGAAGGCGGGUCUCUGGGCCGAUACUGACGCUGAGGAGCGAAAGCGUGGGGAGCAAACAGG